rnacentral:rRNA from 1 species
UUCUUUUUGAUUUUAUGAAAAGUAAAACCUGCCCACUGAUUGAUUUUGAAGGGCCGCGGUAUUUUGACCGUGCAAAGGUAGCAUAAUCAUUAGUCUCUUAAUUAGAGGAUGGAAUGAAUGGUUUAACUUUAAUAUAUUUUAUUAUGACUAUUUUUUGAAUUUAGGUUAUAAGUGAAAAUACUUAUGUUUAUCUGUAAGACGAUAAGACCCUAUAGAUCUUUAUUUUGAACUUAUUAAAUAGUUUGGGGGAAUUAUUUAAUAAGAUAAAAUUUUUAGCUGGGGCAGCUUAAGUAAUAAAUAAAACUUCUUGUAUUAUAGGUUUUAAAAUUUUUUACCUCUGAUGAGAAUUUAAAAAGUUACCUUAGGGAUAACAGCGUAAUCAAUCUAGAGAGCCCAUAUCGAUAGAUUGGAUUGCGACCUCGAUGUUGAAUUAAGAAACCUAAUUAGGGCAGCUUUUAGUUAAGGUGGUUUGUUCAACCAUUAAAUUCUUACA